rnacentral:tRNA from 1 species
UAGGAAAUUAGGUUAACUAGACCAAGAACCUUCAAAGUUCUAAGUAAAUAAUCUACUAUUUAUUUCCUG